UGCCGUUAGGCUUGUAUUUAUUAGAUAACAUACCAAUUUAGUGGUGACUCAUAGUAACUGAUCGAAUCGCACGGGCUUGCCCGCGAUAAAUCAUUCAAGUUUCUGCCCCAUCAGCUGUAAAUGGUAGUGUAUUGGACUACCAUGGCUUUCACGGUUAACGGACGAUUAGGGUUCGAUUCCGGAAAGGGAGCCUGACAAACGGCUACCACAUCUAAGGAAGGCAGCAGGCGCGUAAAUUACCCAAUACUGAUUCAGUGAGGUAGUGACAAGAAAUAACGGGCCGGG
rnacentral:rRNA from 1 species